GGUGGAGUAUGUGGUUUAAUUCGACAACACGAAGAACCUUACCAGGGUUUGAAAUCAUUUCAAAACUCCUUGAAAGAGGAGCCUCCUUCGGGAUGAAAUGACAGGUGGUGCAUGGCUGUCGUCAGCUCGUGUUGUGAAAUGUCGAGUUAAGUCUCGUAACGAGCGCAACCCAUGUCUCUUGUUGCUCACUGAGUGCUUAAGAGAGACUGCCGACCAACAUCGGAGGAAGGUGUGGAUGAUGUCAAGUCAGCAUGCCCCUUACAUCCUGGGCUACACACGUACUACAAUGGUAAGGACAAUGAGCUGCGAUCCUGCGAAGGCUAGCCAAUCUCAAAAACCUUAUCUCAGUUCGGAUUGUACUCUGCAACUCGAGUACAUGAAGGUGGAAUCGCUAGUAAUCGCUGGUCAGCUAUACAGCGGUGAAUACGUUCCCGGGUCUUGUACACACUGCCCGUCACACCAUGGAAGCCGACUCUUCCCUAAGUCGUUACUCGAACCCAUUGGGACGAGGAUGCCGAAGGCAGGGUUGGUGACUGGGGUGAAGUCGUAACAAGGUAGCCGUACUGGAAGGUGUGGCUGGAAUACCUCCUU
rnacentral:rRNA from 1 species